rnacentral:rRNA from 1 species
UUGUGCCAAGCAGCCGCGGUAAUUCCAGCUCCAAUAGCGUAUAUUAAAGUUGUUGCGGUAAAAAAGCUCGUAGUUGGAUUUCUGUUGAGGACGACCGGUCCACACAAUGUGUUGGCAUCAGGUUCGGCCUCGGCAUCUUCUCGAUAGACGUUUCUGCGCUUGAUUGCGUGGGGCGGAUUUCGGGACUUUUACUUUGAGGAAAUUAGAGUGUUCACGGCAGGCUUUCGCCAGAAUACGUUAGCAUGGAAUAAUACUAUAGGGCCUUGGUUCUAUUUUGUUGGUUUCUAGAACUGAGGUAAUGAUUAAUAGGGACAAUUGGGGGCAUUCGUAUCAACACGUCAGAGGUGGAAUUCUUGGAUUGUGUUGCGACGAACUACUGCGAAAGCAUUUGCCAAGGAUGUUUUCAUUGAUCAAGAACGAAAGUAAGGGGAUCGAAGACGAUUAGAUACCGUCGUAGUCUUUACCAUAAACUAUGCCAACUAGAGAUGGGGCAUCGUUCAUUUACGACUUGCUCCGCACCUUAUGAGAUAUCAAAGUCUUUGGGUUCCGGGGGGAGUAUGGUCGCAAGUCUGAAACUUAAAGGAAUUGACGGAAGGGCACCACCAGGAGUGGAGCCUGCGGCUUAAUUUGACUCAACACGGGGAAACUCACCAGGUCCAGACAUAAUAAGGAUUGACAGAUUGAUAGCUCUUUCUUGAUUUUAUGGGUGGUGGUGCAUGGCCGUUCUUAGUUCGUGGAGUGAUUUGUCUGCUUAAUUGCGUUAACGAACGAGACCUUAACCUGCUAAAUAGGAGCGUCUAUCUUCGGAUAAACGCCUUUCUUCUUAGAGGGACUUUGUGCGUUUCAGCAUGAGGAAGUUUGAGGCUAAAACAGGUCUGUGAUGC